rnacentral:rRNA from 1 species
UACGUAGGGUGCAAGCGUUAAUCGGAAUUACUGGGCGUAAAGCGUGCGCAGGCGGUUUUGUAAGUCUGUCGUGAAAGCCCCGGGCUCAACCUGGGAAUGGCGAUGAAGACUGCAAGGCUUGAAUCUGGCAGAGGGGGGUAGAAUUCCACGUGUAGCAGUGAAAUGCGUAGAGAUGUGGAGGAACACCGAUGGCGAAGGCAGCCCCCUGGGUCAAGAUUGACGCUCAUGCACGAAAGCGUGGGGAGCAAACAGG